rnacentral:rRNA from 1 species
UACGUAGGGUGCGAGCGUUGUCCGGAAUUAUUGGGCGUAAAGGGCUCGUAGGCGGUCCAUCGCGUCGGGAGUGAAAAGCUGGGGCUUAACCCCAGUCCUGCUUUCGAUACGGGUGGACUAGAGGUAGGCAGGGGAGAAUGGAAUUCCUGGUGUAGCGGUGAAAUGCGCAGAUAUCAGGAGGAACACCAGUGGCGAAGGCGGCUUCCUGGACUAACACUGACGCUGAGGUGCGAAAGCGUGGGGAGCAAACAGG